AUGGUUGAGAUUUGGAACCAACGGUUGAGGUUCAAGGCCCUGGGGGAGUCCCUGCGGCUCCUCUGCCGCGCCUCCGACUUCACCUUCGGCAGCUACUCCAUGUUCUGGGUGCGCCAGAGCCCCGGGAAGGGGCUGGAGUGGGUCGCUGGGAUCUGGAGCAAUGGUGCUGGCACCGGGUACGCGCCGUCGGUGUGGGGCCGGUUCACCAUGGCCAGGGACAACGGGCAGAGCUCGGUGACGCUGCAGAUGAACAACCUCAGGGAGGAGGAUUCCAACACCUAUUUCUGCGGCAAAUGUGACAGUGCUGGUGCUGCUGGUGCUGAAGGUAUCGACCCCCUUGUUGGGGUCCCCACCUGUCCCCAAACCCCAGACCCUCCCCCCAAACCUCCACCCUUCGCACCCAGCUCUCGGUCGCUGGUCACUCCAUGGGCUGGUUUUGCCCCAGUUCUCGACCUUUGA